ACACUCCUGCGGGAGGCAGCAGUGAGGAAUUUUGGACAAUGGGCGAAAGCCUGAUCCAGCAAUGCCGCGUGAGUGAAGAAGGCCUUCGGGUUGUAAAGCUCUUUUGUCAGGGAAGAAACGGUGAAAGCUAAUAUCUUUUGCUAAUGACGGUACCUGAAGAAUAAGCACCGGCUAACUACGUGCCAGCAGCCGCGGUAAUACGUAGGGUGCAAGCGUUAAUCGGAAUUACUGGGCGUAAAGCGUGCGCAGGCGGUUUUGUAAGUCUGAUGUGAAAUCCCCGGGCUCAACCUGGGAAUUGCAUUGGGGACUGCAAGGCUAGAAUCUGGCGGAGGGGGGUAGAAUUCCACGUGUAGCAGUGAAAUGCGUAGAUAUGUGGAGGAACACCGAUGGCGAAGGCAGCCCCCUGGGUCAAGAUUGACGCUCAUGCACGAAAGCGUGGGGAGCAAACAGGAUUAGAAACCCCUGUAGUCCCA
rnacentral:rRNA from 1 species